rnacentral:rRNA from 1 species
GAUGAACGCUGGCGGCGUGCCUAAUACAUGCAAGUCGAGCGAACAGACGAGGAGCUUGCUCCUCUGACGUUAGCGGCGGACGGGUGAGUAACACGUGGAUAACCUACCUAUAAGACUGGGAUAACCUCGGGAAACCGGAGCUAAUACCGGAUAAUAUAUUGAACCGCAUGGUUCAAUAGUGAAAGACGGUUUUGCUGUCACUUAUAGAUGGAUCCGCGCCGCAUUAGCUAGUUGGUAAGGUAACGGCUUACCAAGGCAACGAUGCGUAGCCGACCUGAGAGGGUGAUCGGCCACACUGGAACGGAGACACGGUCCAGACUCCUACGGGAGGCAGCAGUAGGGAAUCUUCCGCAAUGGGCGAAAGCCUGACGGAGCAACGCCGCGUGAGUGAUGAAGGUCUUCGGAUCGUAAAACUCUGUUAUUAGGGAAGAACAAAUGUGGAAGUAAAUAUGCACGUCUUGACGGUACCUAAUCAGAAAGCCACGGCUAACUACGUG